AACGAACGCUGGCGGCAGGCCUAACACAUGCAAGUCGAGCGCCCUUUCGGGGGAGCGGCGGACGGGUGAGUAACGCGUGGGAAUAUGCCCUUCUCUACGGAAUAGCCUCGGGAAACUGAGAGUAAUACCGUAUACGCCCUUUGGGGGAAAGAUUUAUCGGGGAAGGAUUAGCCCGCGUUGGAUUAGGUAGUUGGUGGGGUAAUGGCCUACCAAGCCGACGAUCCAUAGCUGGUUUGAGAGGAUGAUCAGCCACACUGGGACUGAGACACGGCCCAGACUCCUACGGGAGGCAGCAGUGGGGAAUCUUAGACAAUGGGGGCAACCCUGAUCUAGCCAUGCCGCGUGAGUGAUGAAGGCCUUAGGGUUGUAAAGCUCUUUCAGCUGGGAAGAUAAGGACGGUACCAGCAGAAGAAGCCCCGGCUAACUCCGU
rnacentral:rRNA from 1 species